CGCGGCGAGGACAAAUGGAAAGUCGCCGUCCUCAUAAGUCGGAGAUAGUAGGUUCGAUUCCUACCGCCGCAA
rnacentral:tRNA from 1 species